rnacentral:rRNA from 1 species
AACUUCGGGAGAAGGGGGACCACGCCCGGUGAACACCUUUGCGGUGGGAGCUGGGGGUGGUCGCAGAGACCAGAGAGAAGCGACUGUUUACUAAAAACACAGGUCCGUGCGAAGACGUAAGUCGAUGUAUACGGACUGACGCCUGCCCGGUGCUGGAAGGUUAAGAGGACCGGUUAGCCGCAAGGCGAAGCUGAGAAUUUAAGCCCCAGUAAACGGCGGUGGUAACUAUAACCAUCCUAAGGUAGCGAAAUUCCUUGUCGGGUAAGUUCCGACCUGCACGAAUGGCGUAACGACUUCUCUGCUGUCUCGACCACAGACUCGGCGAAAUUGCAUUACGAGUAAAGAUGCUCGUUACGCGCGGCAGGACGAAAAGACCCCGGGACCUUUACUAUAGCUUGGUAUUGGCGUUCGAUUCGGUUUGUGUAGGAUAGGUGGGAGACUGUGAAGCAUGCACGCCAGUGUGUGUGGAGUCGUUGUUGAAAUACCACUCUGAUCGUAUUGGACGUCUAACCUCGGCCCAUGAUCUGGGUUAGGGACAGUGCCUGGUGGGUAGUUUAACUGGGGCGGUUGCCUCCCAAAGAGUAACGGAGGCGCCCAAAGGUUCCCUCAGCCUGGAUGGCAAUCAGGUGUUGAGUGCAAGUGCACAAGGGAGCUUGACUGUGAGACUGACACGUCGAGCAGGGACGAAAGUCGGGACUAGUGAUCCGGCACCGGCAUGUGGAAGCGGUGUCGCUCAACGGAUAAAAGGUACCCCGGGGAUAACAGGCUGAUCUUCCCCAAGAGUCCAUAUCGACGGGAUGGUUUGGCACCUCGAUGUCGGCUCGUCGCAUCCUGGGGCUGGAGUAGGUCCCAAGGGUUGGGCUGUUCGCCCAUUAAAGCGGCACGCGAGCUGGGUUUAGAACGUCGUGAGACAGUUCGGUCUCUAUCCGCCGCGCGCGUAAGAAACUUGCGGAAGGCUGUCCCUAGUACGAGAGGACCGGGACGGACGAACCUCUGGUGUGCCAGUUGUUCCACCAGGAGCAUCGCUGGUUAGCUACGUUCGGAAGGGAUAACCGCUGAAAGCAUCUAAGCGGGAAGCCUGUUCCAAGAUGAGGUUUCUCACCACCUUCGCGUGGUUAAGGCCCCCCACAGACCAUGGGGUUGAUAGGCCGGAACUGGAAGCGCAGCAAUGCGUGCAGGUGACCGGUACUAAUCGGCCGAGGACUUACACA